rnacentral:rRNA from 1 species
UACGUAGGGCGCAAGCGUUGUCCGGAAUUAUUGGGCGUAAAGAGCUCGUAGGCGGUUUGUCGCGUCUGCCGUGAAAGUCCGGGGCUCAACUCCGGAUCUGCGGUGGGUACGGGCAGACUAGAGUGAUGUAGGGGAGACUGGAAUUCCUGGUGUAGCGGUGGAAUGCGCAGAUAUCAGGAGGAACACCGAUGGCGAAGGCAGGUCUCUGGGCCAUUACUGACACUGAGGCGCGAAAGCGUGGGGAGCAAACAGG